AGGAGAGUGGCUUAGUAGUUUGAAUAUUGGACUAUGACUCUGGAGACCAAGGUUCGAUUCCCAGCUCAGCCA